rnacentral:lncRNA from 1 species
AGUUAUCCAAAAUAUGGCUUAAAUUUAAAACUUAAAUACAAGUAUAAGAGUUCUCCAAAAUACACAAUAGAAUGAAGGUCUAGGAAUAUGAUAAUUACAUGAAGUCUUUGAAAUAAAGAGCUAACUAAUAUGGAUCUAAUGGAAGUCCUGAGUACUAGGAGUUGGGUCUUUUGUAGUCUCCAAGGCUUACUCCGGAGGCACAUCAUCACCUACU